UUGCCUGCCCUCCAUUGAUCUUUCCUACCCUCAGCCUCGACUCACAGUCCAGCGAUGCAGAGGAGUAAAGGCUGGAAACAGCAUCCCAGCAGAGUUAGUGAAGAGGCUGGAAAUUCAAGAUCAAGGUCGCAGAUGGUUUCUGGCUCCUCUUGUUCUGAAUGUGUGUGUUGGUGCCAACAGCCUUCUCACUUCCAGGAAGGAAUGAGAUCCAGGGACAGGGCCAAAGUUCCCCUUUGUUGUUGAACUUGGGAAUUGACAAGAAAACAACAGCCACCAGGUUCCAGAUGCCAUCAGGAUGCCGGCCAGGCUUCCCUGGACUGACGACCCCACCAAUGUGUCCUGGAGCUCAGCUUCCCCAGAGACCCACCCUACUAGGGAAAGAGAGAGGCAGACUGGGAGUAUGGACCGACCAGUCAACGCCCAUGUUCAGCGGGGAAGCAAUUACAAAAGUCAGA